rnacentral:lncRNA from 1 species
GGCGGCACCCAUUGGCUCCCACGAGGCGCCUGCGCGUUGCGCUGUAUGAGCUUCCUGCCAAUCGGCACGUGAGACUACGCGGUGACGUCAGCGUUGCCUAAGCAACCCGGGCACUCUCGGGGAGUUAGUGGACCGCCGACCUGUGACCGGAGCUUUCGUUAGAUCGUCACCUGUACCUGCGAAAAAGCCCAAACUUAGCCUCGUUUAAGACAUACCACAGACGCUGGACUCUUCUGAAAAACCUGUCACGUCGGCUUGGUCUCUCUUGCUUGUAAACAUUGAUAACUGACAUGCAGACUGGGGUGGAGAGAAGAUAAACAACUUGCUCAGACAUACGGUAAAAGGUUGGAAUAUACCAAUAAAUAUGCUGUUGCUGCUUUAACAAGCCACUUCCUUUUGUUGCCAUAUUCAACCAAAAUGUAGAUUGCUAUAGGAGCUUUCCUGCAAUGCCCUUUGCUGUUCUCUGACCAGAGCGGCAGCACUGUAUUAUCAUCUUGGAACCUGGUACAAAGGCACUGAGAGUGGAACAGGCUUUAAUUCAAAAGCUGGUCGGUUGGCCAGAGUUUCUCAUCAAGGAGUACAUGCUGUUUGCUCCCCAGAUGGACAGCCUGGAUGAGCUACAAAUCCACAGAGCCUGGGACACAAGGCCUGGGCUAGUCUCCUUGAGGAUGAGAGACCACGUGGAGCAGAGACAUGAACCACCCAGCCUGCCUGUAGCCCAUCAGUGUGAAGGAGGCCACCUGGGACCUCCAGCUCCAGCUGACGCACCAGCUGCCUGCAGACCCACUGACUUGUAAACAAUAAAAUUGUUAUUGUAAGCCUUCA